UGUCUUUUUAUAUCUAUUAAUCGCAUUUUCGAUAGAAAUAUAAAAAAUUCGAUGAAAUCUUACCCUCUCAGCCUCGUACCAUUUGGCAAAAUCUUCUCUACCCCGCCUAAUAGAAGACAAAGAAUCGCCUUUUUUAUGUACUCAUUGCCAUGUAUGGAUGGUGCGAGGGAUUUAGCAAGGAGCUCGAAAAUAUUUUUGCAGGGAUUAUUCUUCGCCAGCUUCUUGCACAUGGCCACGUCGUCGUGGGAGAUCGCGAGAUUGGCUUCCUUGCUCAAUUGCAUCACAUUGUUGGCGAUUAGAACAGUUCUGAUUGCACACAGAUAAUUAUUAUGAUAGAACACUUUUAGAUGAAAGUAAAAAGAAUUUACAAAUCAUAAUUAAAUUGAGAAAUAAUUCUCGAUCCUUGUCUAGGAUGUACCUAAAAGUGCCAGUCGUGUAUCCACCUUGCUUUCCUGGGAGACAUCGGUAAUUUCCAACAAUUUGCACUCGAUCUCCGGGCUUACACAAGUCUACUAAAUCGUUGUCGCAGAUCACGUCCACGCUUCUUGGUAGCUGUCCAGCUGGAGCUUUCUCCGGCAUUUCUUGUAUAGUGAGUGUUUGAUGAUCUUUGUAAGUGGACAAACCAAAUUCUGUUUCCAACGGGUUGCCAUCUUCAUCCUACAAAAUCAAAACAUUGGAUAAAUUGCGGAAUGUGGGAAGGCAUCCAAAGAAGUUAGAUCCGAAUAUGCUCUCUCCAAGACCGUUUUUGUCACAUCACAGUAAUGGACACUUCUUACAACUUUUGGUCGUACUAAUACUCACAUUUUGUGACGAUACCCUCCAUACAUACCAAGUUACCCAGAUAAUGUGAGGUAAGUGUUCUGGGUGUAACAUGUUUGUUUCCAAAGCUACCUUCAAAAGCUACAAAGAAAUCUUUGUUGCUCUUAGCAUAAUCAAUAUCUAUACUCGAAAUAUACUGUUUUAGAGCAUUUUGAAAUGCCAGUUGUUCUUCAAAAGAAUUAUUUAACAAGCUGCAAUAUAAUUAAUUUAUAAUUAUUCUCUCAACUUUUCAAGA